rnacentral:rRNA from 1 species
CCUACGGGAGGCAGCAGUGAGGAAUAUUGGUCAAUGGACGAGAGUCUGAACCAGCCAAGUAGCGUGAAGGAUGACUGCCCUAUGGGUUGUAAACUUCUUUUAUAUGGGAAUAAAACGUUCCACGUGUGGGAUUUUGUAUGUACCAUAUGAAUAAGGAUCGGCUAACUCCGUGCCAGCAGCCGCGGUAAUACGGAGGAUCCGAGCGUUAUCCGGAGUUAUUGGGUUUAAAGGGAGCGUAGGUGGAUUGUUAAGUCAGUUGUGAAAGUUUGCGGCUCAACCGUAAAAUUGCAGUUGAUACUGGCAGUCUUGAGUACAGUAGAGGUGGGCGGAAUUCGUGGUGUAGCGGUGAAAUGCUUAGAUAUCACGAAGAACUCCGAUUGCGAAGGCAGUUCACUGGACUGCAACUGACACUGAGGCUCGAAAGUGUGGGUAUCAAACAGGAUUAGAUACCCUUGUAGUC